rnacentral:tRNA from 1 species
AGUCCCAUGGUGUAGUGGCCAAUCACGAGGGCUUCUGGGGCCCUAAACCGCAGUUCGAAUCUGCGUGGGACUA